rnacentral:sRNA from 1 species
GCAAUUAAUAAAACCCAAAGAUAAUCUUCUCUCCCCUGACUCUCGUUUCCUCUCUCUUUCUCUCUUCCUUUACAGAGAAAGCAGAGAGAGAGACAAAGGGAAAGCUAAAUCCGUGACCCGGAUCCGAAAUAAUCGGGUUUUCAAAAUCUAAUUCCUCUUAUCUUCUCUCUUCUUCUUCUUCCU